UUAAGCGACUAAGCGUACACGGUGGAUGCCCUGGCAGUCAGAGGCGAUGAAGGACGUGCUAAUCUGCGAUAAGCGUCGGUAAGGUGAUAUGAACCGUUAUAACCGGCGAUUUCCGAAUGGGGAAACCCAGUGUGAUUCGUCACACUAUCAUUAACUGAAUCCAUAGGUUAAUGAGGCGAACCGGGGGAACUGAAACAUCUAAGUACCCCGAGGAAAAGAAAUCAACCGAGAUUCCCCCAGUAGCGGCGAGCGAACGGGGAGCAGCCCAGAGCCUGAAUCAGUGUGUGUGUUAGUGGAAGCGUCUGGAAAGGCGUGCGAUACAGGGUGACAGCCCCGUACACAAAAAUGCACAUGCUGUGAGCUCGAUGAGUAGGGCGGGACACGUGGUAUCCUGUCUGAAUAUGGGGGGACCAUCCUCCAAGGCUAAAUACUCCUGACUGACCGAUAGUGAACCAGUACCGUGAGGGAAAGGCGAAAAGAACCCCGGCGAGGGGAGUGAAAAAGAACCUGAAACCGUGUACGUACAAGCAGUGGGAGCACAGAGCAAUCUGUGUGACUGCGUACCUUUUGUAUAAUGGGUCAGCGACUUAUAUUCUGUAGCAAGGUUAACCGAAUAGGGGAGCCGAAGGGAAACCGAGUCUUAACUGGGCGUUAAGUUGCAGGGUAUAGACCCGAAACCCGGUGAUCUAGCCAUGGGCAGGUUGAAGGUUGGGUAACACUAACUGGAGGACCGAACCGACUAAUGUUGAAAAAUUAGCGGAUGACUUGUGGCUGGGGGUGAAAGGCCAAUCAAACCGGGAGAUAGCUGGUUCUCCCCGAAAGCUAUUUAGGUAGCGCCUCGUGAAUUCAUCUCCGGGGGUAGAGCACUGUUUCGGCAAGGGGGUCAUCCCGACUUACCAACCCGAUGCAAACUGCGAAUACCGGAGAAUGUUAUCACGGGAGACACACGGCGGGUGCUAACGUCCGUCGUGAAGAGGGAAACAACCCAGACCGCCAGCUAAGGUCCCAAAGUCAUGGUUAAGUGGGAAACGAUGUGGGAAGGCCCAGACAGCCAGGAUGUUGGCUUAGAAGCAGCCAUCAUUUAAAGAAAGCGUAAUAGCUCACUGGUCGAGUCGGCCUGCGCGGAAGAUGUAACGGGGCUAAACCAUGCACCGAAGCUGCGGCAGCGACACUAUGUGUUGUUGGGUAGGGGAGCGUUCUGUAAGCCUGCGAAGGUGUGCUGUGAGGCAUGCUGGAGGUAUCAGAAGUGCGAAUGCUGACAUAAGUAACGAUAAAGCGGGUGAAAAGCCCGCUCGCCGGAAGACCAAGGGUUCCUGUCCAACGUUAAUCGGGGCAGGGUGAGUCGACCCCUAAGGCGAGGCCGAAAGGCGUAGUCGAUGGGAAACAGGUUAAUAUUCCUGUACUUGGUGUUACUGCGAAGGGGGGACGGAGAAGGCUAUGUUGGCCGGGCGACGGUUGUCCCGGUUUAAGCGUGUAGGCUGGUUUUCCAGGCAAAUCCGGAAAAUCAAGGCUGAGGCGUGAUGACGAGGCACUACGGUGCUGAAGCAACAAAUGCCCUGCUUCCAGGAAAAGCCUCUAAGCAUCAGGUAACAUCAAAUCGUACCCCAAACCGACACAGGUGGUCAGGUAGAGAAUACCAAGGCGCUUGAGAGAACUCGGGUGAAGGAACUAGGCAAAAUGGUGCCGUAACUUCGGGAGAAGGCACGCUGAUAUGUAGGUGAAGCGACUUGCUCGUGGAGCUGAAAUCAGUCGAAGAUACCAGCUGGCUGCAACUGUUUAUUAAAAACACAGCACUGUGCAAACACGAAAGUGGACGUAUACGGUGUGACGCCUGCCCGGUGCCGGAAGGUUAAUUGAUGGGGUCAGCGCAAGCGAAGCUCUUGAUCGAAGCCCCGGUAAACGGCGGCCGUAACUAUAACGGUCCUAAGGUAGCGAAAUUCCUUGUCGGGUAAGUUCCGACCUGCACGAAUGGCGUAAUGAUGGCCAGGCUGUCUCCACCCGAGACUCAGUGAAAUUGAACUCGCUGUGAAGAUGCAGUGUACCCGCGGCAAGACGGAAAGACCCCGUGAACCUUUACUAUAGCUUGACACUGAACAUUGAGCCUUGAUGUGUAGGAUAGGUGGGAGGCUUUGAAGUGUGGACGCCAGUCUGCAUGGAGCCGACCUUGAAAUACCACCCUUUAAUGUUUGAUGUUCUAACGUUGACCCGUGAUCCGGGUUGCGGACAGUGUCUGGUGGGUAGUUUGACUGGGGCGGUCUCCUCCUAAAGAGUAACGGAGGAGCACGAAGGUUGGCUAAUCCUGGUCGGACAUCAGGAGGUUAGUGCAAUGGCAUAAGCCAGCUUGACUGCGAGCGUGACGGCGCGAGCAGGUGCGAAAGCAGGUCAUAGUGAUCCGGUGGUUCUGAAUGGAAGGGCCAUCGCUCAACGGAUAAAAGGUACUCCGGGGAUAACAGGCUGAUACCGCCCAAGAGUUCAUAUCGACGGCGGUGUUUGGCACCUCGAUGUCGGCUCAUCACAUCCUGGGGCUGAAGUAGGUCCCAAGGGUAUGGCUGUUCGCCAUUUAAAGUGGUACGCGAGCUGGGUUUAGAACGUCGUGAGACAGUUCGGUCCCUAUCUGCCGUGGGCGCUGGAGAACUGAGGGGGGCUGCUCCUAGUACGAGAGGACCGGAGUGGACGCAUCACUGGUGUUCGGGUUGUCAUGCCAAUGGCACUGCCCGGUAGCUAAAUGCGGAAGAGAUAAGUGCUGAAAGCAUCUAAGCACGAAACUUGCCCCGAGAUGAGUUCUCCCUGACUCCUUGAGAGUCCUGAAGGAACGUUGAAGACGACGACGUUGAUAGGCCGGGUGUGUAAGCGCAGCGAUGCGUUGAGCUAACCGGUACUAAUGAACCGUGAGGCUUAACCU
rnacentral:rRNA from 1 species